rnacentral:rRNA from 1 species
UGGGGAAUAUUGCGCAAUGGGCGAAAGCCUGACGCAGCAACGCCGCGUGGGGGAUGAAGGCUCUCGGGUUGUAAACCCCUUUCAGCAGGGACGAUUGUGACGGUACCUGCAGAAGAAGGACCGGCCAACUACGUG